AUUCACACUGAAAAUAUCACUCUGGCGGCUGUAGGAAAGGAUAGUAAGAAGAGCAAGGUGCACGACGGCUACAUGACUAUUCUAGUGUUUUCGAAGAAAGGCUGAUGGUGUGGACAGAGGAUAGUAGCAGUGGAGAUGGCAAGACACUAUCAGACUCAGGGUAGAAUCUGACAACACUUGCUGAGGAUGGAAUGUGAGUCAUGAGACAAAGCAUCAUCAAGGUGACUCCUAGGAUUAUGGCUGAGCAGGUGCUUCUCUGUACAGUUCAUCCACUGUACAAUCCUCAUUCAUAAACCAAGUUGUCAGCAGCUCUCUCAGGUAAUCUUCCUGAAUAGUGCAAGUUGCUUCUUCAUCAA
rnacentral:lncRNA from 1 species